rnacentral:rRNA from 1 species
UACGAAGGGUGCAAGCGUUAAUCGGAAUUACUGGGCGUAAAGGGUGCGUAGGCGGUUGUUUAAGUCUGUCGUGAAAUCCCCGGGCUCAACCUGGGAAUGGCGAUGGAUACUGGGCAGCUAGAGUGUGUCAGAGGAUGGUGGAAUUCCCGGUGUAGCGGUGAAAUGCGUAGAUAUCUGGAGGAAUACCGGUGGCGAAGGCGGCAUCCUGGACCGACAUUGACGCUGAACGGCGAAAGCUAGGGGAGCAAACGGG